rnacentral:rRNA from 1 species
UACCAGCACCCCGAGUGGUCGGGACGAUUAUUGGGCCUAAAGCAUCCGUAGCCGGUUCUGCAAGUCCCCGUUAAAUCCAGCUGCUCAACAGAUGGGCCGCGGAGGAUACUACAGAGCUAGGAGGCAGGAGAGGCAAGCGGUACUCAGUGGAUAGGGGUAAAAUCCGUUGAUCCAUUGAAGACCACCAGUGGCGAAGGCGGCUUGCCAGAAUGCGCUCGACGGUGAGGGAUGAAAGCUGGGGGAGCAAACCGG